rnacentral:rRNA from 1 species
AGAGUUUGAUCCUGGCUCAGAAUCAACGCUGGCGGCGCGCUUAACACAUGCAAGUCGAGCGAGAAAGUGGAGCAAUCCRUGAGUAAAGCGGCGUACGGGUGAGUAACACGUGGAUUAUCUACCUUUUAGUGGGGAAUAACUUUGGGAAACCGAAGCUAAUACCGCAUAAGCCUGAGAAGGGAAAGCAGCAAUGCGCUGAAAGAGGAGUCCGCGGCCGAUUAGCUAGUUGGUGAGGUAAUGGCCCACCAAGGCGAUGAUCGGUAGCCGGCCUGAGAGGGCACACGGCCACACUGGCACUGAAACACGGGCCAGACUCCUACGGGAGGYAGCAGUGGGGAAUCUUGCACAAUGGAGGCAACUCUGAUGCAGCGACGCCGCGUGAGCGAUGAAGCCCUUCGGGGUGUAAAGCUCUUUCRGCCGGGACGAUAAUGACGGUACCGGCAGAAGAAGCUGCGGCUAACUACGUGCCAGCAGCCGCGGUAAUACGUAGGCAGCAAGCGUUGUUCGGUAUUACUGGGCGUAAAGAGUGUGUARGCGGCGUUCUAAGUUCGGUGUGAAAUCUCCCGGCUCAACCGGGAGGGGGCGCCGAAAACUGGAAUGCUCGAGCGUGGGAGAGGAAAGCGGAAUUCCUGGUGUAGCGGUGAAAUGCGUAGAGAUCAGGAGGAACACCAGCGGUGUAGACGGCUUUCUGGACCAUGGCUGACGCUGAGACACGAAAGCGUGGGGAGCAAACAGGAUUAGAUACCCUGGUAGUCC